rnacentral:rRNA from 1 species
GGGUUGUGAGGUUAAGCGACUAAGCGUACACGGUGGAUGCCCUGGCAGUCAGAGGCGAUGAAGGACGUGCUAAUCUGCGAUAAGCGUCGGUAAGGUGAUAUGAACCGUUAUAACCGGCGAUUUCCGAAUGGGGAAACCCAGUGUGUUUCGACACACUAUCAUUAACUGAAUCCAUAGGUUAAUGAGGCGAACCGGGGGAACUGAAACAUCUAAGUACCCCGAGGAAAAGAAAUCAACCGAGAUUCCCCCAGUAGCGGCGAGCGAACGGGGAGGAGCCCAGAGCCUGAAUCAGUGUGUGUGUUAGUGGAAGCGUCUGGAAAGGCGCGCGAUACAGGGUGACAGCCCCGUACACAAAAAUGCACAUACUGUGAGCUCGAUGAGUAGGGCGGGACACGUGGUAUCCUGUCUGAAUAUGGGGGGACCAUCCUCCAAGGCUAAAUACUCCUGACUGACCGAUAGUGAACCAGUACCGUGAGGGAAAGGCGAAAAGAACCCCGGCGAGGGGAGUGAAAAAGAACCUGAAACCGUGUACGUACAAGCAGUGGGAGCCUCUUUAUGGGGUGACUGCGUACCUUUUGUAUAAUGGGUCAGCGACUUAUAUUCUGUAGCAAGGUUAACCGAAUAGGGGAGCCGAAGGGAAACCGAGUCUUAACUGGGCGUUAAGUUGCAGGGUAUAGACCCGAAACCCGGUGAUCUAGCCAUGGGCAGGUUGAAGGUUGGGUAACACUAACUGGAGGACCGAACCGACUAAUGUUGAAAAAUUAGCGGAUGACUUGUGGCUGGGGGUGAAAGGCCAAUCAAACCGGGAGAUAGCUGGUUCUCCCCGAAAGCUAUUUAGGUAGCGCCUCGUGAAUUCAUCUCCGGGGGUAGAGCACUGUUUCGGCAAGGGGGUCAUCCCGACUUACCAACCCGAUGCAAACUGCGAAUACCGGAGAAUGUUAUCACGGGAGACACACGGCGGGUGCUAACGUCCGUCGUGAAGAGGGAAACAACCCAGACCGCCAGCUAAGGUCCCAAAGUCAUGGUUAAGUGGGAAACGAUGUGGGAAGGCCCAGACAGCCAGGAUGUUGGCUUAGAAGCAGCCAUCAUUUAAAGAAAGCGUAAUAGCUCACUGGUCGAGUCGGCCUGCGCGGAAGAUGUAACGGGGCUAAACCAUGCACCGAAGCUGCGGCAGCGACGCUUAUGCGUUGUUGGGUAGGGGAGCGUUUUGUAAGCCUGCGAAGGUGUGCUGUGAGGCAUGCUGGAGGUAUCAGAAGUGCGAAUGCUGACAUAAGUAACGAUAAAGCGGGUGAAAAGCCCGCUCGCCGGAAGACCAAGGGUUCCUGUCCAACGUUAAUCGGGGCAGGGUGAGUCGACCCCUAAGGCGAGGCCGAAAGGCGUAGUCGAUGGGAAACAGGUUAAUAUUCCUGUACUUGGUGUUACUGCGAAGGGGGGACGGAGAAGGCUAUGUUGGCCGGGCGACGGUUGUCCCGGUUUAAGCGUGUAGGCUGGUUUUCCAGGCAAAUCCGGAAAAUCAAGGCUGAGGCGUGAUGACGAGGCACUACGGUGCUGAAGCAACAAAUGCCCUGCUUCCAGGAAAAGCCUCUAAGCAUCAGGUAACAUCAAAUCGUACCCCAAACCGACACAGGUGGUCAGGUAGAGAAUACCAAGGCGCUUGAGAGAACUCGGGUGAAGGAACUAGGCAAAAUGGUGCCGUAACUUCGGGAGAAGGCACGCUGAUAUGUAGGUGAAGCGACUUGCUCGUGGAGCUGAAAUCAGUCGAAGAUACCAGCUGGCUGCAACUGUUUAUUAAAAACACAGCACUGUGCAAACACGAAAGUGGACGUAUACGGUGUGACGCCUGCCCGGUGCCGGAAGGUUAAUUGAUGGGGUUAGCGGUAACGCGAAGCUCUUGAUCGAAGCCCCGGUAAACGGCGGCCGUAACUAUAACGGUCCUAAGGUAGCGAAAUUCCUUGUCGGGUAAGUUCCGACCUGCACGAAUGGCGUAAUGAUGGCCAGGCUGUCUCCACCCGAGACUCAGUGAAAUUGAACUCGCUGUGAAGAUGCAGUGUACCCGCGGCAAGACGGAAAGACCCCGUGAACCUUUACUAUAGCUUGACACUGAACAUUGAGCCUUGAUGUGUAGGAUAGGUGGGAGGCUUUGAAGUGUGGACGCCAGUCUGCAUGGAGCCGACCUUGAAAUACCACCCUUUAAUGUUUGAUGUUCUAACGUUGGCCCCUGAUCGGGGUUGCGGACAGUGUCUGGUGGGUAGUUUGACUGGGGCGGUCUCCUCCUAAAGAGUAACGGAGGAGCACGAAGGUUGGCUAAUCCUGGUCGGACAUCAGGAGGUUAGUGCAAUGGCAUAAGCCAGCUUGACUGCGAGCGUGACGGCGCGAGCAGGUGCGAAAGCAGGUCAUAGUGAUCCGGUGGUUCUGAAUGGAAGGGCCAUCGCUCAACGGAUAAAAGGUACUCCGGGGAUAACAGGCUGAUACCGCCCAAGAGUUCAUAUCGACGGCGGUGUUUGGCACCUCGAUGUCGGCUCAUCACAUCCUGGGGCUGAAGUAGGUCCCAAGGGUAUGGCUGUUCGCCAUUUAAAGUGGUACGCGAGCUGGGUUUAGAACGUCGUGAGACAGUUCGGUCCCUAUCUGCCGUGGGCGCUGGAGAACUGAGGGGGGCUGCUCCUAGUACGAGAGGACCGGAGUGGACGCAUCACUGGUGUUCGGGUUGUCAUGCCAAUGGCACUGCCCGGUAGCUAAAUGCGGAAGAGAUAAGUGCUGAAAGCAUCUAAGCACGAAACUUGCCCCGAGAUGAGUUCUCCCUGAGACUUUAAGUCUCCUGAAGGAACGUUGAAGACGACGACGUUGAUAGGCCGGGUGUGUAAGCGCAGCGAUGCGUUGAGCUAACCGGUACUAAUGAACCGUGAGGCUUAACCUUACAACGCCGAAG